GACGAACCGUGCGAACGUUGUUCGGAAUCACUGGGCUUAAAGGGCGCGUAGGCGGGUGGUCAAGUCAGGGGUGAAAUCCUCCCGCUCAACGGGAGAACAGCUUUUGAUACUGGCCAUCUUGAGGGGGUAGGGGCAUGUGGAACUUCCGGUGGAGCGGUGAAAUGCGUAGAUAUCAGGAAGAACACCCGUGGCUAAGGCGGCUCUCUAGUACGGUACUGACGCUGAGACGCGAAAGCGUGGGGAGCGAACAGG
rnacentral:rRNA from 1 species